AGAGUUUGAUCAUGGCUCAGAUUGAACGCUGGCGGCAGGCUUAACACAUGCAAGUCGAGCGGUAAACUAUGGUCGCUUGCUACCAAGCGUCGAGCGGCGGACGGGUGAGUAAUGCUUAGGAAUCUGCCUAAUAGUGGGGGAUAGCCCGGGGAAACUCGGAUUAAUACCGCAUACGCCCUACGGGGGAAAGCAGGGGAUCCGCNCUUCGGAAAGGACCUUGCGCUAUUAAAUGAGCCUAAGUCGGAUUAGCUAGUUGGUGGGGUAAUGGCCUACCAAGGCGACGAUCCGUAGCUGGUCUGAGAGGAUGAUCAGCCACAUCGGGACUGAGACACGGCCCGAACUCCUACGGGAGGCAGCAGUGGGGAAUAUUGGACAAUGGGCGCAAGCCUGAUCCAGCCAUGCCGCGUGUGUGAAGAAGGCUUUCGGGUUGUAAAGCACUUUCAGCGAGGAAGAAGGCCUUCAGGUUAAUACUCUUGAGGAUUGACGUCACUCGCAAUCGGAAUUACUGGGCGUAAAGCGCGCGUAGGUGGUGGUUUAAGCGAGAUGUGAGAGCCCCGGGCUCAACCUGGGAACGGCAUUUCGAACUGCCUGGCUAGAGUGUUGUAGAGGAUAGUGGAAUUUCCUGUGUAGCGGUGAAAUGCGUAGAUAUAGGAAGGAACACCAGUGGGGAAGGCGGCUACCUGGUCCAACACUGACACUGAGGUGCGAAAGCGUGGGGAGCAAACAGGAUUAGAUACCCUGGUAGUCCACGCCGUAAACGAUGUCAACUAGCCGUUGGGGAUCUUGAAUCCUUAGUGGCGCAGCUAACGCACUAAGUUGACCGCCUGGGGAGUACGGCCGCAAGGUUAAAACUCAAAUGAAUUGACGGGGGCCCGCACAAGCGGUGGAGCAUGUGGUUUAAUUCGACGCAACGCGAAGAACCUUACCUGGCCUUGACAUGCAGAGAACUUUCCAGAGAUGGAUCGGUGCCUUCGGGAACUCUGACACAGGUGCUGCAUGGCCGUCGUCAGCUCGUGUCGUGAGAUGUUGGGUUAAGUCCCGUAACGAGCGCAACCCUUAUCCCUAGUUGCUAGCAGGUAAUGCUGAGAACUCUAGGGAGACUGCCGGUGACAAACCGGAGGAAGGUGGGGAUGACGUCAGGUCAUCAUGGCCCUUACGGCCAGGGCUACACACGUGCUACAAUGGCGCGCACAGAGGGCUGCAAACCCGCGAGGGGGAGCCAAUCUCACAAAACGCGUCGUAGUCCGGAUCGGAGUCUGCAACUCGACUCCGUGAAGUCGGAAUCGCUAGUAAUCGUGAAUCAGAAUGUCACGGUGAAUACGUUCCCGGGCCUUGUACACACCGCCCGUCACACCAUGGGAGUGGAUUGCACCAGAAGUAGUUAGUCUAACCCUCUGGGAGGACGAUUACCAGUGGCUGAUUCA
rnacentral:rRNA from 1 species